GCUAAGUCCAUAGAUUUUUAGGUGAGCCUUAUUUUUAUGUUUGCAUGUAUUGUCUUGGAAGUGUCUACUGUCUAGUAGUUGAUAGUUCAUUUGGGCUUUCUUCCUAACUUAUUUGGGCGCCAAUUAAGCCCUAAUAGCUUUACAAGGUCUGGUAGAUAAUUGUGCCUGUGAAAAAACGUAGGCCCAACAUUCCGAAGCCCAUUUGAAAGCCCGGGCUAUAUAAAACCUAAAUCCACAAUGAAUCUGACGUCCUCUCGAGUUUUCAGUCUUGUAACAGAAGCAGGACCACAGCCGCCGUUCCCAAGCAGAAUCAGUGGGUAACAAGAAAUGGAACUGGCACUUAAUUGAUUUUUUUCGUUUGAGUUUAUUCUGUUUUUGAUGUUUUCGCUGGUGUUUAUUCCGUUGUUGUGUGUGUGUUUUGUGAAAGAAAACACAUGACUAGGGGCCUUAAAUUUAUAGAGCUAUAUAUUCCCGCUCUUCAACUUCAAAACCACGCCCCUACAAGUACCAAAACACGUGACUAGGGGCCUUAAUUCGCAUCUUCUGCUGCAAGAAAUUGCAAAGAGGGAGAGAAAUGAAGAUGAGAGGGUCUCGCAGAUCGACAUUGCCGAUGGCAUCUCCGAGUUCUCCUAAAUAAUCUCCAACAUCCGGCGUACUUGACAAGACUAGACAUCAGCAGCAACAAGAAUUCGUCGACAAGGUCUUCUUCUCGUAAAACCCUAACCUCUGUCUCCGAUCUCAAGGAUCUUCUGUCUUCACGCCUCGACGAUCUGAGGAGAAAUCUCAUCGAUGGAUCACACGUAGAGAUUCUCAAGGACUCGGAAGCCUCUCACCCUCGCCUCCACAAACGCUUGAAGAUACAAGUACAGAUAAAAGCAUCCCAGCAAGUGAGGGAUGAAACAUAGAAAAAAUGUAAGAAGAUCAAUGGGCAGAUCAGUGAAACUCAGGAAAUAGUGAAGUGUGCAAAACAUCCAUCACUGAGCUUUCAACAUCUUUUGAGAAGGAAAUUGAUGAUCUCCGGAAGCAUUAUGGAACUUCAUCAACAUAGGGUUAUCUGGAACAACUGGCCCCAAGCUACUAACAGAGAAAUUCCCUAGUAAGUGCUUUAUCUGCUUGAUGCUCUCUUCCACAACUUUCAAAUUAUAAUAUGUGAUAUCACUUGUUAAAAUUUAUUUAUUUAUAUCAUCACUGCUCUCAUGCCCCUUAGCAUUUUUCUACAGAGUAUGUAGAUGUGUCGUUGUAUAUGUAUAAUGUAUCUAGCUCAGGAGAACUAACAGAUAUUAAAAGCAGAGAGUAUUUGAUAGCUGACAAGGCAUUCUUGUUAGUCUGUUGAGAAGAAAGUAAUCUGCUAGCAUAUUGCUCCAGCCUCUUAAGUAAGUUGAUAAGGCCUUAGUGCUAGUAACUGGCUCUAGCUCACUCGUUCUAAGCCAACCCGUUCUUCAUAACCAUACCCACUGAGGUCUCCAAGCUUUUCAUGCCUGUGUUGGAACUUAUGUACCUAUGCAAACAAGUAGAGACAUAUUCUAAUCGAGUGCUGCAUAUGCAUGACUGUCCAAAAAGCAAAUGUUAUUCAGUAUUUAAACACAUUGUGCAAGGUUUAGCAUACGAUGUUGGUCAUUUCUGAUCCAAAAUUCCAUACCUGAACUAUUUGGUAUGCCAUUGAAUUUGAGGGCUCUUGGGUUUAUUUAUUUAAAAAAGUUCAUUUGCUUUUC